rnacentral:rRNA from 1 species
CCCUUAGAUGUUCUGGGCCGCACGCGCGCUACACUGUUCGACGCAGCGAGUCUUAACCUUGACCGAAAGGUUUGGGUAAUCUUCAGCAAAGUCGAACGUGAUGGGGAUCGAUCAUUGCAAUUAUUGAUCGUGAACGAGGAAUUCCUAGUAAGUGCAAGUCAUCAGCUUGCGCUGAUUACGUCCCUGCCCUUUGUACACACCGCCCGUCGCUACUACCGAUUGAAUGGUUUAGUGAGAUCUCUGGAUUGACGCUGGCUAGGGGGCGACCCUUGGCCAGGCUGUCGAGAAACUGCUCAAACUUAAUCAUUUAGAGGAAGUAAAAGUCGUAACA